rnacentral:lncRNA from 1 species
UUCGCACUAACCAAUACCUCCGCAGAUGUUCAAAUUUCAUACUCUGCAAUUUCUUUACUAAUUUUGGUUUCAUUUUCUUUUCUUCUUCUUUUUUGCUGUAAGCGCAGCCCUUAAGAUCGCCUUCCACACCAUAAAUGGAAGCGUUUUGAGUCAUAGCUGCGCGAAAUCAAAUUCAAUGAACACACACAUCCGCGAGAUUUUGUGUGUUUAUUUUGGCGUUCUUUUUAGGGUUUUCCUUUUGAGAAUUCCACGUUCCCAUCUACUUCUUCACAGAGUCGGUUCAUUUCUAGCUUUUGAUAUUUAAUUUUCUAUUUUUCGUGCACUCGUGCAUAUGUGAUUAUGCUCGUUCCGAUCAAUAGAUUUUAAUUAUUCAAACGCUGAAUUUUUUGAACGCCUCUGCGCUGUAGAUGUGAGACAUCUGAUUUUAUUUUUUGAUAUAUUCUUUUGAUUUUUUUCCGAAUUUGUUUGUGUGGCCUUUGAGAAAAUUGAAUAUAUUAGAUGAGAUCGAUUGGAUUAAAUAAUCUUUUAGCAGAAAUAAGUAUGCUUAUUGAUAAUUUGGGUUUUCCUUCUCAGAUUUGCUCAUAAAGAUAGUUUUAAGUUAUGAGUGUUUUAAGUUUUCUCUUUGAUUUAGAAAUUUUCUUUGUCGGAGAAAUGAUGAAUUAUAACAAUGGCGAUGGGUUUUGUGCCCUUGUGAGCUACAUAAAUAACGCUUAUUGAUAUUCUGAUAUCUCUUUUUUCUUUAAUAAGUUAGUAUUAGUAUUACUCCGUAUUCUGAUUUAUUUUAUUACUUCUAUAUUUGUAGCUGGUGACCUCCAUCACUACUCAUCCAAAAUUUAUUAAUUCGAUCUCAUAUAUAAUGUAUUUAGCAAUCUCAUUCAUAUGUAUAAUUCACAAUCUUAAUUAAUAGUACAAAGUUCAAUAAUCUAGCUCAAUACUCACACAACUUAAAAUAUAGUAGUACUUCAACACUAAUUUUACUAAGUCAAUAUGUAAACUUGAAUUAAAUUGAGCAAAAAAAUUCUACCCUGCCCACUGUCCAAGCUAAAAAAUUGAGUCCAAUUUUCGCACUACAUCCAAAAAUAGAUAUAACAUGAAUUAUAUAAAUAAAAUAAGCUUUGUACUUUGUCCACUUUCAAACUUUUAAUCAUGUUAAUGUAUAAAAUUUAAAAUUAAUCAAUGAGAAAAAUGUACUGAGUCUAACCCACUUGUCCAUAUCCAAUAAAUUUGGGCCCACAUCUCACCUUCGUAACAUACCUUCAAUGGAUUUUGAAAAUGGCAAUUCCGUAUGUUUUUCGAAAAGGAUCUUUGAUUUGGGCAAUAACUUUUCCCCACAAUCCUGUACAAGACAUUCAUAUGGGUCAAGGAAUUCAAUAAAAGACUUUUGAGGUGUUAUCCAAUUCAAUAAAUUAGAGUUCUUCCAAGUGGUUUCAUUUUCAAACAGUUGCAUGUCAUUCAAAAACUUUUAUUAUUUUUCAUACUAAAUUACAUAUUGUAUUCAAAAGGUAGGCAUAUUUAGUUUAAUAUUUUGAUGUAAUUUGUAAAUGAGAAACAAAGUUAAGCUAAACUAUUGACAAAAAUUUGUUUAGGAUAUUCGAAGUUUGUCUGAGAAUGGAUAAGCUGGUGUUGCCUAAAUAAUAAUGAUUGUAUCUAAAUCAUAAUGUGACUACUUUAUUAUUCCCUCCGUUCCAUGAAUCUUGACAUGUUUGGUUUCGGCACGAUAAUUAAAGAGUUGUAGAUUAAUAUUUUAAGUGUAUUAGUUAAUAAAGUAUAAAAGUGAUAAAGUAGGAGAGAAGAUAAUAAAAGUGAUAAAGUAGGAGAGAGAAUGUAAUAAUUACUCCCUCCGUCCUGGCCAAGACGCUACAUUUGUUUUUCAGCACGGGAUUUAAGGAGUUGUAGAUUAAUGUUUUAAGUGUGUAAUAAUAAAGUGAUAAAGUAGGAGAGAAAAAGUAAUAAAGUGAUAAAGUAAGAAAGAGAAGGUAAUAAAGUGAUAAAGUAGGAGAGAGAAAGUAAUAAAAUGAUAAAGUAAGAGAGCACAUGUAAUAAAUAAAUACUCUCUCUGUCCCACUAAUGAAGACACACUUUCCUUUUUGGGCUGUCCCAAUAAUAAAGACACAUUUCCAAAAAAGGAAAGAAUUAGGCUUAAUUACAACUAAUUAAUUGAACCUUAAUUAUGGUAUAAAUAAGUAGAAAAUCCCAAUCUACUCAUUUCAGUCCCACCGCCUCCCUCAUUUUCUUCACUCUCGCCGCCCAUCUCCUCCCCUUUCUCAGCGGAGUCGCCGCCGACGAACCAUGGCCACCGCCGACCACCCCUCGCCCCUCUGGUGAGCCUCCGAUUACUCGCGCACACACUGACGGGGGCAGAGGGCCGAGCCCUAGCCCCGCCGAACAGCAGCGUUGCCCUUCCCACGCCCUUCCUCUGCCACCCAGAUCCGCCAAACCACCACCGCCCUGAGCCGCCGAACCACCACCAUGCGGCUCCAGUCUCCUUCUUCAAAAACCUAGAUCCGCCAAACCACCACCGCCCUGAGCCGCCGAACCACCACCAUGCGGCUCCAGUCUUCUUCUUUCAAAAACCCAGAUCUGCCAAACCACCACCCUCAAUUUCUUGGAUUGAUUUGAGAGAGGAAGAGAGUGGCGGAUCUGGUUCUGCGGAGGCGUCGCUCGAGAUACAUGCGCGUGUGAAACGGCGCAUCCCCUCUCUUCUCCUUCUCCGGCCGUCGUAGCGGUGAGGCCACCACUCUCCUUUUGAAACCCUCCAUCUCCGCCGCCAUUCUCAUGGUUCAAAUUUGGGAAUCGGAGAGAAUAAAAUUGGCAGAUUUUCAUGGAUUUGAAAUUUCUGAUUGUGUUGUUUCGAUUUUCAUGAUUCGAUUUUUUGGUUGUGUUGUUUUGAUUUAUGGAUUUGAUUUUCAUGGUUCAAAUUUCUGGAUUUCUGGAUUCGACUCGAUUUUCAUUGUUCUAAUUUGGGAAUAGGAAUGUGAGGAAUGAGAAUGGCAGAUUUCGAUUUUGCUCUUGUUGUUUUGGCGGUGGUCGGCGGUGGUGGUCGCCGGCGAUUCCGCCGGAGGAGAAAAGAUAGUAAAAGAACUGUAUAUUAAAUAAGAGAAAAAGAAGAAUUAAACAAGUUUAAUUAAAUGUAUUAAAUAAAUAGGUUAACACAUUUUACUCCCUAAUUUAACUCUCCUAAAUUCCCGUGCCCAAAAGACUUGUGUCUUUAUUAACGGGACGGAGGGAGUAGUAAUUAUCAAGAAUACCUCCAAUGGGGUGCUCGAGUCGUGCGCUUCACACCCCGCCGCGUUGCCGCCUCCCUGGGCUUGAGCAAUGGUUCCAAUUUUAGAGUUGGGUUUCAAGGAGUAUAUAUUGAGCGCAUGUUUGUAGGUGUUCCUUUUUAAAAAAAAGCGUAAAUUCUUCAAAAAAAAAUUUAAUUUUUUUUGUUAUUAUUACUUUUUUAGUAUUACCGUUGAUUCCCAACGGUUCCUUCCCUCUUUUUUCUUUUUUUAUUCCCCCAUAUAAAUACAUCUAUUUUCUACUCAUUUUUUUAUUCCUCACUUCAUAAUUCUCUCAUCUAAUCAUACUUUUCCCUUGUUUCACAUUUUUCUUUCCAUCUUUCAUUUAUCAAAAAUGGAUCGUGAAUUUAACGAGUUCUUCAAAAAUCAAGUCCAUUCUUCAGGCAUUCUCAUUUCUUUUUGUUGGGGUUCUCGUCUUUCUCUCAAAGCUCGAAUAUCUUCGUUAUAUGCUAUCAAUUUGAAUGAAACUCAUUUCGCUCAACAUAAUGUUGUAGCAGAAAUUUUGUCAUUCUCCAAGAUAGCGAAAUCAUGAAUUGGAGAGAGAUAGCCAUAAUACUGUCUCAGAGGCUAGCCAUAAUACCAUCAAGGGUGCCAACCAAAAGGCACCACGUAUUGGAGAGAGAUAAUCUGAAAGUUCAAUGAAAUUUAACCUUUGGGUACUUCUCGACGUGAUAACAAAAUGAUCAAAUCCCAUUUGCAAUACAAUUAAUUGAAACAACCAACUUUGUCAAUAAUUACUUCAAGUCCGUCGUCAUCGUGUCGUGUGAAAAAUAUUUAAUCUAAAGUGACUUGGGCGUUACAUAACAAAUUAUUCCCUCCGUCCACUAAUUUAUGGCCUACUUGUCUUUUUGGUCCGUCCACCACUUUAUGUCCUAUCUAUUUUGGGUAAGUUUAUAUUCAUAUUUUAAUCAAAUUUGUGGGUCCCUUUAAUAAAUUGUGGCCUAAUUGCAUUGACUUUAAUAAAUUGUGGGUCUCUUUCUCCACUCAACUAAUAAAAAUACACUUUUUUCUUAAAACCCGUAUUUUACCUCCUAGGCCAUAAAUUAGUGGACGGAGAGAGUAUAUUUUAUUAGAAAAGUGUGAAAUUGAGUUGAAUUAAAUAAAUAAAGAAGUCACUUAUAUUGACCAUAUCUGAAUGAACUUUUUACUAACUCAUUUUAAUUGCUUUGAUACUCUUGAUGCAACUAGCGUUUCUCAUGCUACAAUGCACACGAGCUAGUAUGGUUUUAAAUUUAAAACUAGAUCGAGACGUUUGAUUUGAAUGAAAAAUAUCAGUGGCAAAAUAAUUUAAUUUAAUUAAAUAUUUUAUUCGUGAUAGAUAAUUUGAUCUAUAUUUUAAUUAUCUAAUUAACUAAUUAUUUAUCAUUUAAAAUUGGAUUAAUUAUUAAAUUAUUUGUUAUGAUCCGUCACACAUCGAUAUAUUUAGGGUUAAUUACGCAAAAAAUCAUGAACUUUGGGCUAAUUUUCAAGUUUGCCAUGAAGUUUUUUUUAUCAAAUUUUUCUGAAUUUAAUCAAUUGAACAAUUUUGCAUGGUUUUCAAAAAUCCCCAAAUUGAGUGCUGACAUGGCACUUUUAAGUGACCUGAAAUGUGACAUGGCGUCGCCGGACGAGAACCAAAACGACGUUGUUUAGUUGGGCAUAAAACGACGUCGUUUUACCUCAAUUCUAGCCCCCGUCUUCUCCUCUAUGCUACUCNCCGCCACCCGCGGAUACCCGCUACCCGUCGGGUAUCCGCGAACCCGCUACCCGUCGGGUAUUCGUCACCCGCUAUCUGUCGAAUACCCGCCACCCACUAUCCGCUGGAUACCCGCUACCCACUAUCCAUUGGAUACCCACGAAAUAAAAUUUAAUUAUAAAUUUAUAACAAAUUUAACAGGUAAUUGACUGGUAUUUCACGGGUAAUUGGCGGGUAUUUUCGCGGAUAUUUUUCGCGGGUAAACGGGUUUCGUGGGUAUGGAUAGUAAGUAUCAAAAUCCAUACCCAUGAACUAAAUGGAUAGUGAAUUGCAACCACGAAACUAUUCGUGGAUAUCAAAUGUCUCUCAAAUUCACCCUAAUAGGUUCGGGUUUUCGCGGGUAUCCAUUACCCGCGGGUAAAUUGUCAUCCCUACUUGCUGUACAUAAGCUCUUUAGCUAUCGGGAUCGUGAUCUCGAUUCGUUUGAAGAUCCAUGAGCGGGCCAGCUGCUGCUCUCGACUGGCUAGAUCGGAGUUGCUGAGUAGCUUUUGCGGAGUGAGCUUUCGGUUUGCUUAUUAACUUCGCCACAACUGGGGUCUGGUUAUCGGACUCCAGGUUUUGACUAUUUUUGGUUCUGGGUUUUUCUUGCUCAAGCAGUUGGCUCUCCGGCGUGGCUAUAGGGAGAUGAUGGUUCGGCCGAUGCUUACUUCGGUCAGUGCUAGAGUCGGCUUGGUAAUAGUAGUUAUGUUUGGGUGAUGGCUAGUUCGAAGCUCGUCGCAACUACUAUCUUUGAUGUCCCUAUUGAGUCGUCUUGUUUUUUUUGGUACUUAGACUGGUACCUUUUUUUCCUGUUUAAGGUUUUUCCCUUUGAGUUUUUCUUAAAGUGGUUUUAAUGAGGCUCGGGCUCUUAGUCUGCUUCCUCUGUGCUUUCAAGGGUUUUUUUUUCAGGUUUUUUCUCUUAUAAUAAAAUCAUCAUUUAAUUAAAAAAAAUUACCUUUUUUAAAUGAAAACAUAAUUUAGUUAUUUUAUUGUAUUAUUGUAGUUAUUUUUUUUCUAUUUUUGUAAUUUUAUUUUUAUUUUAUAAAUAAAAAAUGGUUAAUUACGCAAAAAGUCAUGAACUUUAGGCCAAUUUUCAAACUUUCCAUGAACUCUUUUUUUUUCUAAUAAAAAAUUUUCUAAAUUUAAGGGGUUGAACAACUUUUCCAUGCUUUCUAAAAAUCCCCAAAUUCAUGGCUGAUAUAUGGCAUUUUUAAGUGGCUUGAAAUAUGACAUGGCAUCAUCGGACGGGAACCAAAACGACGUCGUUUAGUUGGGGGUAAAACGAUGUCGUUUUGAGCCAUACCUCCCCCCCCCCUCUCUCUCUCUCUCUCUCUCAGUUGGUCGGAGCACGGCGGCGGAGCCUCCAAGAUUCCCAGAUUUGGUCGCCUCCCUUGCUGCAGAACACUUGGCUCCCAUGGCUCUCCACUUUACCUUCUUCCCAUUCGAGAUCGAGAAUCUAUAGGAAGAAAAGUUGGUGACGCCAGUGAUCGAGGGAGGUGAAGAGCGCCAGCAACGAAUCGACGGCCAUGAAUUGGGUGGGAAUCAUGGAUUUUCGCCGCAGCAACCAAUCGACAGAGGUAAUUUAAUUUGCUGUCAUAGGCAACGUGGAGCGAGAAGGGGAUUGCGCCAUUGGAGUUGGAAAUUACCUCUAAGAAAAAGGAUUUGGAGCGAUUGGAGAUAGGGUUUGUUUGGCCGUCUGGAAAAGCUGGCCGCUGACAUCGAUCGUAACCACAUGUUUGGAGCCGAUUGAAGAUAGGGUUUGUUUGGACUUUCGGCGUCGGCGUCGGCGCCGGCGAUUCAAGGGGCUUCCCGACCUUCUGAAUCAGAUAUGUGUCAAUUUUCAGUCCACAUAGGUGUCAUAUCAGUUUGUAAUUGCCAAAAAAUUGCCAUGUCAGCUCGGAGCUUCACCGGAGCAAAAAGCGUGGAAAAAUUGUUCAACCCGUUAAAUUCAGGGAAUUUUUGAUAAAAAAAAAAGUUCAUGGCAAGUUUGAAAAUUGGCCUAAAGUUCAUGGUUUUGGGCGUAUAAUUAACCCAUAUAUUUAAGUAUGAACUUAUCUACAUAGUUUAUAACAUCUUAAGCACUCUUUUUCAUAAUCUAACUUUUGAGGAUGAGUUCUACCUAGGGUGUUACAACAAUGAUAUCAAAGCUCGCCCAUGCUCUUGACCACUUGAGACUUUAUGGGCCGCCAGCGGUGGUAUGGGCUGUCGUGGACGGCAGAUCAGACCCAGGACUUUAUGGGCCGCCAUGGGUCAUUUGCGGUGGUAUGCGCCGUCGCGGGUGGCGGAUCGAAAGCGUGGUGAUUUGUCAUGACCCAUCUCACAUCGUUAAGUAUAGACUGGUCGAUGUGGUUUAUAAGUAUGAGUUGUCGAUGUAGUUUAUAUUACCUUAUUGUAAUAUAAUCCUACAAUUUACAAUGUAAAAUUUUGAAAAUACCCUCAUUAGAGUUAUUCUUGAUUUUGUUUGUCCUCAAUUUUUUUGACAUUUUUGUAGGACUCUAAUUUUUUCUAUUGUCUCUCACUUUAUUUACUAAAAAAAUGCCCUAACUUUUGUGGAUGCAAAAAAUUGACAAAGUUGCCACACUUCGUGGAGAAGAAAAUAAUGAAAAAUGUGAUAAAUUUAAAAGACGUGCGGUGCAUAAAAUCUGUAUACUAUUUUUUUUAGGGGGGUGUAUACUAGUAAGGUUAUAGUAUCAAAUAAUAAUGAUAUUAUUUUUUUGCAAUAAAUAAUACUUCCCCAUCCAUGAAAUGAUGUCUUAAGGAAGGGAUGCACAUAUUUUAAGAAAAUUUAUGUUGUUUAUUUAGUUAGUGGAGAAACGAGCCCACAAAUGAAGAAAACUAGAAAAAAGUUAAUUAAGUUAGUAAGAAUGAGUUUACUUUGAUGGAUAAAUUUAUCAUGGAAAAAUGAGGAAUAGUAAAAAAACUGCCUUUAAAUUCCUUCUUUCUUCGCCUACAUUUUAUACGAAAGAGAAAUUCACCAUUUUUUCCCCCUUAUUUUCACUUCAAGGAUGAAUAAUAUUAUCUUUCCAUUAUUUUGUAUAAAAUGUGGGGAAAAGAAAGGAAGCAUUUAAAGGCAUAAAAUUUUGUUAUCCCUCAUUUUCCCAUGAUAAAUUUAUCCAUCAAAGUUAAUGCACCCUAAGUGAAUAAUGGAGUCCACAUGUUAGUGAGUGGAGAAAGGAACCCAUAAAUUUACUAAAAAUAGAUUAUGACAACUUUUUUGUGAACGAAUUAAAAUGACAAAUUAGGACAAUAUUGAUCACUACAACAUUUGAUGGGUAAUAUCCCUAAAAAUUAAAUCAUAAUAAAUUACCUUUACUAAAUCAAUAAUUUUGAAAUUGUUUAAAAGGGUAAUUAAUUUACACAAAAUCUCUUGUACACCUGGGUGUAGGGAUGUCAAUCGGGCCAGCCCACCGGGUUUUCGGGCUAGUCCUAUCGGGUUCCGGGUUAGUCGGGUGCGGGCUAAUCGGGUUGGAGAUUUUUUCGGGUUGUAAAUCUUCAAUCCUAACCCUAAACUUUCGGGUUUCGGGCUAGCCCAUCGGGCUAAUCAGGUUAAAGGCGUAAAAAAUUAUUCCUAAUGAUCUAAUAUAUAAUGUAUAAAAUAUACAUAGAUAUUAAAGAUAUAAAUUAUAUAGCAAAGCAUGAAAUGCAAAAAUAUAAGAUAUUCAAGAUUACAUAAACAAAAUUAUAUUAAAAUGAGAUAGUAAAAUUUAACAUGUAUCAAUGCACUAGAAUCAAUCUGGAUUAUUACUGAAUAAUUAGUGGAUUUGCCAUGCACGUCUCAUUGACAGAAAAAAAAAAAUUGGUAUCACUUUAAAAUGAGAUACUAAUAAUUAAUUUCUAACUAAUGGGAUACUAAUAAUCAAUUUCUACAAAAAAAUCCGUAAUUAAUUUCACUUUUUUUAAUGAGAUUGCCACACACACACACAUAUAUAUUCUAACUAAUUAAUUUCACUUUUUUUUAAUGAGGCUACAUAUAUAUAUUUAAGCAAAUACCAUAGAUCUAAACAUAGCAGAAGUUGUAACUGGAUGCAUCAGUCACAAUUCCGUCAGCCCACCGGGCCAGCCCAUCGGGUUUUCGGGCUAGCCCUAUCGGGUUCCGGGUUAGUCGGGUGCGGGCUAAUCGGGCUGGAGGUUUUUUCGGGUUGCGAUUUUUCAACCCUAACCCUCUAAUUUUGCCGGGUUAUUCGGGUCGGCCCACGGAUUUCGGGCUGCAUUGACAUCCCUACCUGGGUGUACCGUACACCCGGGUUGACCCAUACCCAAAUCUUGAUUCGCAUGUUAAUCCAAAUUAAAAUCCUGAUUCAAAUCGUGUAAAUGACACUAUUCAGUUAUACAAAUGACACUACUUAUAAUUGACACUAUUCAAUUAUAUAAAUGACACUGUAACAUUUUAAAAUGUUAUAGUGUCAUUUUUAAUCUUAUAGUAUUGUUUAAAAUACUAUAGUGUCAUUUAUAAUCUUAUAGUGUCAAUUACUAGAAGUGUCAUUUAUAUUUCUGAAUAAUGUCAAUUAUACACAGUAUCAUUUACAAUAUUAUAGUGUCAUUUGUAUAACCGAAUAAUGUCAUUUACACGAUUUGAAUCAAAAUACGAGUUUGGAUCAGGAUUUGGGUACGGGUUAACUCGGGUGUACGGUACACCCGGGUGUACCCAAGAUUACCUCAUUAAUUUAUUUUAGGACCAAAUAUAUACUAUGGAAAAUGUAAUAACAAAUAAUAAAAUCACUUUCCUAAAUAAAUACAUAUCGUCACACAACUAUUAUAGAUUGAAAUUUGAUUAUUUAAUUAAAGUAGUUGAGCAACCCUACAUUUAAUUUGGUGGACCAAAACUAAUAUCAUCUGCCCAACAACAUAUACCUAAUUGCGAAAAAAAAAAUUAAUAUCUGCGACAUACUUAAAAGUCCACUAUCAGAGUCAGGAAUAACGUUUAUAUUUAUUUGUUUAUUUAAGAUUUGUUUCAUCACUUCGUGUAAAAAUAAUAUGCUUAUUCAUUUGGAUGUGAUAAUAUGAUGAGUUAUGGUGGCUUUUGAACAAUAAUGAUAUGAAACAUGACUAAUUCAAUUACAUUUUGGUUAGAAUUACUUUAUUACUUACUAUAUAGUUAUCAGUGCUAUACAUCUUAAUUUGAAUAAAAAUAUUUGUGUUUUUAAAUAUAGGGGGUUUUUUCCUUAAUUAUAAAUUUAUCAAAAAAAGGAUAAAAAAAAAUUCAUCUAUAAAUUUCUCUUUUCUUUUUUCUUAUUUCCUAUAAAAUAAAAUUCCACUCUUACUCAUUCCUCAUUUUCGCGACAAAAAAAAGAAGAAGAUAAUAUUAUCCCUUCAGUUUUAGUGUGAUAAUAUUAUUCUUCAUUGGAGUGAAAAUGAGGAAUAAUUAAAUAAGGAUCAAAUUCUAUUUUAUAGGAAAUGAGAGAAAGAAAAGAAAACAUUUAGGGAAUGAAGUUUUUUGGAUUAAUUGCAUGUAAAUACACCAACUUUGCCAAAAUUCAUUUUUAACGCGUAAUUAGAUAUAUUUUAGUUGUUCGACUUUGACUCCGAUGAACCUCAUAGACGUUAUGUGGACUACAUGUAAACGCCACGUAGAUGUCAAUUAGAUCUACGUAGAUGCCAUAUAGACGUCAUGUCAUUUCUGAUGAGCCACGUAGAUGUCAUAUCAUUUUUUAACUUGAAAAAAA